rnacentral:rRNA from 1 species
AACGAACGCUGGCGGCGGGCCUAACACAUGCAAGUCGAGCGAGAAAGCUCCUUCGGGAGUGAGUAAAGCGGCGCACGGGUGAGUAACACGUGGGUAAUCUACCCUUUGGUCUGGAACAACUCGGGGAAACUCGGGCUAAUUCCGGAUAAGACCACGUAACGAGAGUUAAGUGGGAAAAGCGGGGGACCUCUUCGGAGACCUCGCGCCGAUGGAUGAGCCCGCGGCCCAUCAGCUUGUUGGUAGGGUAAUGGCCUACCAAGGCUAAGACGGGUAGCUGGUCUGAGAGGAUGAUCAGCCACACUGGAACUGAGACACGGUCCAGACUCCUACGGGAGGCAGCAGUGGGGAAUAUUGCGCAAUGGGGGAAACCCUGACGCAGCCACGCCGUGUGAGUGAUGAAGGCCUUCGGGUCGUAAAGCUCUGUCAAAAGGGAAGAUGGUUACUGCGGAUAAUACCCGUAGUGAUUGACGGUACCUUUAAAGGAAGCACCGGCUAACUCUGUGCCAGCCGCCGCAGUAACAC